rnacentral:snRNA from 1 species
GUGCUCGCUUCAGCAGCACAUAUACUAAAAUUGGAACAAUACAGAGAAGGUUAGCAUGGGCCUUGUGCAAGGAUGACAUGCAAAUUCAUGAAGCGUUCCACAUUAAA